GACGAACGCUGGCGGCGUGCUUAACACAUGCAAGUCGAACGGAAAGGCCCUGCUUUUGUGUGGUGCUCGAGUGGCGAACGGGUGAGUAACACGUGAGUAACCUGCCCUUGACUUGGGGAUAACUUCAGGAAACUGGGGCUAAUACCGGAUAGGAGCUCCUGCUGCAUGGUGGGGGUUGGAAAGUUUCGGCGGUUGGGGAUGGACUCGCGGCUUAUCAGCUUGUUGGUGGGGUAGUGGCUUACCAAGGCUUUGACGGGUAGCCGGCCUGAGAGGGUGACCGGCCACAUUGGGACUGAGAUACGGCCCAGACUCCUACGGGAGGCAGCAGUGGGGAAUAUUGCACAAUGGGCGGAAGCCUGAUGCAGCAACGCCGCGUGCGGGAUGACGGCCUUCGGGUUGUAAACCGCUUUCGCCUGUGACGAAGCGUGAGUGACGGUAAUGGGUAAAGAAGCACCGGCUAACUACGUG
rnacentral:rRNA from 1 species